rnacentral:rRNA from 1 species
CCUACGGGAGGCAGCAGUGAGGAAUAUUGGUCAAUGGGCGCGAGCCUGAACCAGCCAAGUCGCGUGAGGGAAGACGGUCCUGUGUAUUGUAAACCUCUUUUGUCAGGGGGCAAAAGACGCCACGCGUGGCCGUCCGAGAGUACCCGAAGAAAAAGCAUCGGCUAACUCCGUGCCAGCAGCCGCGGUAAUACGGAGGAUGCGAGCGUUAUCCGGAUUUAUUGGGUUUAAAGGGUGCGCAGGCGGCAGGUCAAGUCAGCGGUAAAAUUGAGGGGCUCAACCCCGGCGAGCCGUUGAAACUGGUUUUCUUGAGUGGGUGAGAAGUAUGCGGAAUGCGUGGUGUAGCGGUGAAAUGCAGAGAUAUCACGAAGAACCCCGAUUGCGAAGGCAGCAUACCGGCGCCAAACUGACGCUGAGGCACGAAAGCGUGGGUAUCGAACAGGAUUAGAUACCCCAGUAGUC